rnacentral:tRNA from 1 species
GUGGUUGUGACUCAGUGGUAGAGUGCUUACCUAGGAUGUGGGAGGCUCUGGGGUCCAUUCUCAGCACCACU